rnacentral:rRNA from 1 species
AAGCCUACACAUGCAAGUCGAGCGAGAUCUUCGGAUCUAGCGGCGGACGGGUGAGUAACGCGUGGGAACGUACCCUCUUCUGCGGGAUAGCCACUGGAAACGGUGAGUAAUACCGCAUACGCCCUUCGGGGGAAAGAUUUAUCGGAGGAGGAUCGGCCCGCGUUGGAUUAGGUAGUUGGUGGGGUAAUGGCCUACCAAGCCUACGAUCCAUAGCUGGUUUUAGAGGAUGAUCAGCCACACUGGGACUGAGACACGGCCCAGACUCCUACGGGAGGCAGCAGUGGGGAAUCUUAGACAAUGGGCGCAAGCCUGAUCUAGCCAUGCCGCGUGAGUGACGAAGGCCUUAGGGUCGUAAAGCUCUUUCGCCUGUGAUGAUAAUGACAGUAGCAGGUAAAGAAACCCCGGCUAACUCCGUGCCAGCAGCCGCGGUAAUACGGAGGGGGUUAGCGUUGUUCGGAAUUACUGGGCGUAAAGCGCACGUAGGCGGAUUGGAAAGUAUGGGGUGAAAUCCCAGGGCUCAACCCUGGAACGGCCUCAUAAACUUCCAGUCUGGAGUUCGAGAGAGGUGAGUGGAAUUCCGAGUGUAGAGGUGAAAUUCGUAGAUAUUCGGAGGAACACCAGUGGCGAAGGCGGCUCACUGGCUCGAUACUGACGCUGAGGUGCGAAAGUGUGGGGAGCAAACAGGAUUAGAUACCCUGGUAGUCC